rnacentral:rRNA from 2 species
UUAAAUUGAGAGUUUGAUCCUGGCUCAGGAUGAACGCUGGCGGCGUGCCUAAUACAUGCAAGUCGAACGAAACUUCUUUAUCACCGAGUGCUUGCACUCACCGAUAAAGAGUUGAGUGGCGAACGGGUGAGUAACACGUGGGCAACCUGCCCAAAAGAGGGGGAUAACACUUGGAAACAGGUGCUAAUACCGCAUAAUCAUAGUUACCGCAUGGUAACUAUGUAAAAGGUGGCUAUGCUACCGCUUUUGGAUGGGCCCGCGGCGCAUUAGCUAGUUGGUGAGGUAAAGGCUUACCAAGGCAAUGAUGCGUAGCCGAACUGAGAGGUUGAUCGGCCACAUUGGGACUGAGACACGGCCCAAACUCCUACGGGAGGCAGCAGUAGGGAAUCUUCCACAAUGGGCGAAAGCCUGAUGGAGCAACGCCGCGUGGGUGAAGAAGGUCUUCGGAUCGUAAAACCCUGUUGUUAGAGAAGAAAGUGCGUGAGAGUAACUGUUCACGUUUCGACGGUAUCUAACCAGAAAGCCACGGCUAACUACGUGCCAGCAGCCGCGGUAAU